rnacentral:rRNA from 1 species
AUUGAACGCUGGCGGAAUGCUUUACACAUGCAAGUCGAGCGAUUUACUUCGGUAAAGAGCGGCGGACGGGUGAGUAACGCGUGGGUAACCUGCCCUGUACACACGGAUAACAUACCGAAAGGUAUGCUAAUACGAGAUAAUAUGCUUUUAUCGCAUGGUAGAAGUAUCAAAGCUUUUGCGGUACAGGAUGGACCCGCGUCUGAUUAGCUAGUUGGUAAGGUAACGGCUUACCAAGGCGACGAUCAGUAGCCGACCUGAGAGGGUGAUCGGCCACAUUGGAACUGAGACACGGUCCAAACUCCUACGGGAGGCAGCAGUGGGGAAUAUUGCACAAUGGGCGAAAGCCUGAUGCAGCAACGCCGCGUGAGCGAUGAAGGCCUUCGGGUCGUAAAGCUCUGUCCUCAAGGAAGAUAAUGACGGUACUUGAGGAGGAAGCCCCGGCUAACUACGUGCCAGCCGCCGCAGUAA